ACACUGCACUCAUGUCAGACGUUCAAACAGAUGCACCUGUGGGUUUAACAAGAGUGGCUGCCAGGAUGGAGUUUGUGAGGAGAGACCCAAGCCACUAAGAUUCUUCCCCCUUGAUACCAGUCCAAAUGAAUCCAAACCUGCUACGACACAAGAGAUGGAACAAAGUUUGGCCUUCCCUGUUGAGGGUCAAAGUGGAAGGGGAAAAAGAGGCCUGAAGAUGCUGACUUUCACAUUCCCCAAGCAGGUAACAAGGCAUGGAUCUGUGUGCUGCAGUAUAGCUAAGAUAUUCUCAAACUAGCUCCAGCAAUGGAAGUAGAUGAGAAAGAAGACCUUCCUGCUUAGCUACCUUCUUCUACUGUGUUCGCGCUACCAGACCUCAAAUACCCCUGUGUCCUCAACAGGUAUCUUUAAACCUCUCUCUACAUGCGAUCAUUUCUUUGCAGUGCCAACUCCCAUUCACACAAUGCUGGAGCAGUUUUGAGGGGAGAGGAGGACAUGAGAAAGCCAUCGGAAGGGUGCUGCAUCCAGGAUAUCCCAAAUUUCCUAACCUACCUGACCCUCAUCCUUCAGAUCCACUGGCAACAUGCUGGAGGAUUUUAGGACAAUGUGACAAACUAACCUGGCAUGAAUAGGAGGGAAACCAGAACUUCUUAAUGUCUUCUGGGGUAAUGUUUUCUUGCAAGAGCUACUAUGGUAGUGACAGAGAGGCUGCAAAGAACCAAAGCUAAUUGGCAGCUCUUAUUGUGGUGGCCUACAGGAGCUUAUCCAAGAGAGGCCGAGGUCUGUGAUAACACUGACUCAGUGUGAAUGUAAAUUUUGAGAGAGAAAAAGUGGCCCUAGAAAAAGGAUACUAUGCACUCAUACUUCUGAACAUAUACCCAGGAACGAAAUAUGUUUCUGAAGGCACUAAAAAAAGAGAGGAGUUUUGCACAAGGUUAUGGAGAUUUCAAAAAAAAGCUGGACAUUUACAAUUGUUCUUGGUUGGUAUAUUUUAUUUACGUGACAUCCUAGUCUCUGGAAAAAAAUAAAUAUCUGCCACUAUCAUAUAUAUUCAAACAAACACACAGAAAGCUACUGUACAAGAGGAUGAUAAUGCCAGGAACUGACAUCUUCCCCCUUCUCCAUUUAUCUCAGCAAUGCACUCCUAGUCUGCUGACUGUGAUAUUGAGUAUUGUCAGGUUGGGUUUCCACUAAUUAAUGAAAAACAGACUAAAAGCACAAAGGAUUAAUUUGGCCUAUUCACUCUGAUCACAAACAUUUUAAGAGUCUGUUUAGGGGUUUUUUUGAAUGGUGUGAGGUAAACUGGGAGAAACAACAUCUUGUUUCAGCUAGUCAGCCACAAAAGUGAAUUUACUUAAUGGGGUCAAACCUAAGAAACAUGGAGCUUCAUUCCCAGGAGCCAGACAAGUCUGUUAUCUUAUGGAGAAAGCUGAUACUGGGGCUCUAACAACUUUAGAGCUACUAAAUAUCCCUGUGGGUAUAGGAAGGAUGCUUUACUCUUCCUUCAGUGGGAGUUUUGCACUGACAGUAUCAGGUGCAUCUAAUAACACCUCCUAUGCCUGUGGCAGCCCUGGGUGCUUUCACAGGGAUUUUGCUGUCUGUGUAAUAAGAAGCAUCUGUAUCUGGUUCUCAGAUGGAGAAAUCAAUGUACUUGGCCAGUGAAGAGACUGGCAAUCUAUAUUCAGGUCCUACUUGCAUAGUACUGAGUGUCUUUGUUUAAACUAUAAUCAGAAACCAGCAAAGAGAGAAUUGGCAAAUGUAUUACUGCAAAACAUACAUAAAACAAUUUUCCUAGGCUUAGGAUAUAAAUAUGUACCUAGGCUGGUGCACUAGCAGUGAGAGACUUUCUUGCUCCAAGGAAAGGUGUACGUUCACUUAAUUACAUGUUAUGCCAAUCAAUGAAAAGCCAAAACAGCUGAAUCAAUACUGCGUUGCACUGUUGUAAACUGUAGUUAUGAUAUAUUAGACUAUGAAUGGCUGUCAAGUUUAAAAGCAUGUAACUGAAUCAAAAACUGAGUAUCUGUUAUGUGUGCAAUUUAGAAAGAGUUAAUACCUUCCAAUUGAGAGGAUUUGUUUCUAAUUAAUAUAAAAGCUGUUCAUUUAAAUCCUGGGCAGGCAGUAUUUAAAUACAACAGCAAGUCACCUGGGAAUUCCAUGCAAACUACUUUGUGGAAAGCUGUUAUGUUGUGCUGAAAUAAAUUCAACAUGAAGUAACUGUACCCACUUCA